rnacentral:rRNA from 1 species
UACGGUGGGGGCAAGCGUUGUUCGGAAUUACUGGGCGUAAAGGGUUUGUAGGUGGCUUGCUAAGUCAGACGUGAAAUCCCCAAGCUUAACUUGGGAACUGCGUCGGAUACUGGAUGGCUUGAAUUCGGGAGAGGGAUGCAGAAUUCCAGGUGUAGCGGUGAAAUGCGUAGAUAUCUGGAGGAAUACCGGUGGCGAAGGCGGCAUCCUGGACCGACAUUGACGCUGAGGAGCGAAAGCUAGGGGAGCAAACGGG